GGGCAACCCUGGUGGCGAGUGGCGAACGGGUGAGUAAAGCAUCGGAACGUGCCCUGGAGUGGGGGAUAACGUAGCGAAAGUUACGCUAAUACCGCAUAUUCUGUGAGCAGGAAAGCAGGGGAUCGCAAGACCUUGUGCUCUGGGAGCGGCCGAUGUCGGAUUAGCUAGUUGGUGGGGUAAAGGCCUACCAAGGCGACGAUCCGUAGCGGGUCUGAGAGGAUGAUCCGCCACACUGGGACUGAGACACGGCCCAGACUCCUACGGGAGGCAGCAGUGGGGAAUUUUGGACAAUGGGCGAAAGCCUGAUCCAGCCAUGCCGCGUGAGUGAAGAAGGCCUUCGGGUUGUAAAGCUCUUUCGGUGGGGAAGAAAUUGCACGGGUUAAUAGCCUGUGUAGAUGACGGUACCUGGAGAAGAAGCACCGGCUAACUACGUGCCAGCAGCCGCGGUAAUACGUAGGGUGCGAGCGUUAAUCGGAAUUACUGGGCGUAAAGCGUGCGCAGGCGGUUUGGUAAGUCAGAUGUGAAAUCCCCGGGCUCAACCUGGGAACUGCAUUUGAGACUGCCAAGCUGGAGUUUGGCAGAGGGGGGUGGAAUUCCACGUGUAGCAGUGAAAUGCGUAGAGAUGUGGAGGAACACCGAUGGCGAAGGCAGCCCCCUGGGCCCAUACUGACGCUCAUGC
rnacentral:rRNA from 1 species